rnacentral:RNase_P_RNA from 1 species
UUAUAGUUAUAUAAAUUUAGUAUAAUUAAAAGGAAAGUUAUAUAAAAUAAGUUAAAUUUAAGAGAAAUAAUAUAAAGUAAAAUAUUCAUAGAAUAUAUAUAAAACUUAUUUAAAUCAAUUAAUUAUUUGAGUGAAAUAAAUAUACUAAACAUAUGCUUAUUAAUUAUAUAAUAAAUUAUAUACAUCCUUUGGAUGCUUCGCUAUAUAA